rnacentral:rRNA from 1 species
UACGUAGGGGGCAAGCGUUGUCCGGAUUUAUUGGGCGUAAAGAGCGUGUAGGCGGCCAUGCAGGUCCGUUGUGAAAACUCGAGGCUCAACCUCGAGACGCCGAUGGAAACCAUCUGGCUAGAGUCCGGAAGAGGAGAGUGGAAUUCCCGGUGUAGCGGUGAAAUGCGCAGAUAUCGGGAAGAACACCCGUGGCUAAGGCGGCUCUCUAGUACGGUACUGACGCUGAGACGCGAAAGCGUGGGGAGCGAACAGG